rnacentral:rRNA from 1 species
GAAGCGGGAAUAGCUCAAAUUUGAAAUCUCAUAGGGUAACCUAUGCGAAUUGUAGUUUAGAGAAGUGUUUUCGGAGGCAACUUAGGCGUAAGUCCUUUGGAAAAAGGCGUCGGAGAGGGUGAGAACCCCGUCCUUAGUCUAAUGUUGCUUCUAUGUGAUACACUUUCAAAGAGUCGGGUUGUUUGGGAAUGCAGCCCAAAAUGGGUGGUAAAUACCAUCUAAAGCUAAAUAUUGGCAAGAGACCGAUAGCGAACAAGUACCGUGAGGGAAAGAUGAAAAGAACUUUGAAAAGAGAGUUAAACAGUACGUGAAAUUGCCAAAAGGGAAACGCUUGAAACCAGUGUUGCUUGUAGGAAAUCAGCCGUUCCGUAAGGUGCGGUGCACUUUUCUACAGGCAGGUCAACAUCAGUUUGGAUUGAAGUAUAAAGCCUAAGGAAGGUAGCGUCGGCUUCGGUUGGCGUGUUAUAGCCUUUGGUCAUGCUUUGGUCUAGACUGAGGUUCGCAGUGCAGCCUUGGGUACCUAGUCGCCGCUUGACCUUAUACUGCAGACAGCAUGCUGAUUGUAGCGUAAGUUAGGGCGCCCGGUUAGUUUGCCACAACUGUGCUUAGGAUGUUGACGUAAUGGUUUUAAACGACCCGUCUUGAAACACGGACCAAGGAGUCUAACAUAUAUGCGAGUAUUUGGGUGGCAAACCCUAUGUGCGAAAUGAAAGUGAUAAGGUGGGAUCUUCGGUGCACCAUCGACCGGUCUGGAUUUUUUUUGAUAGAUCUGAGUAAGAGCAUAUCUGUUGGGACCCGAAAGAUGGUGAACUAUGCCUGAAUAGGGUGAAGCCAGAGGAAACUCUGGUGGAGGCUCGUAGCGAUUCUGACGUGCAAAUCGAUCGUCAAAUU